ACAGAGGGGGCAAGCGUUGCUCGGAAUUACUGGGCGUAAAGGGCGCGUAGGCGGGAUGGUAAGUCGGUCGUGAAAUCCCUCGGCUCAACCGAGGAACGUCGAUCGAUACUACCGUUCUUGAGGAUUGCAGAGGAGACUGGAAUUCCCGGUGUAGCGGUGAAAUGUGUAGAGAUCGGGAGGAACACCGGUGGCGAAGGCGGGUCUCUGGGCAAUUCCUGACGCUGAGGCGCGAAAGCGUGGGGAGCAAACGGGAUUAGAUACCCCGGUAGUCCACGCUGUAAACGAUGAGCACUAGGUGUGGGGGGGUUCAGUCCCUUCCGUGCCGCAGCUAACGCAUUAAGUGCUCCGCCUGGGGAGUACGGCCGCAAGGUUG
rnacentral:rRNA from 1 species